UCUUUAAUUUUCUCUUCCUCUUUCUUUCAUUUUAACCGCACGUUUUCCCCUCCCUUUGUUCCUUUGAGCGACCCCCUCCUUUUGCCCCUUCAUCCACUGCUUCUUUUUCUUUUAUCUUUGGGUUCUGUUGAAGAAUUGAGCAGCCCACCAUCAAUCUCUCUCUCUUGCGGAUCAACGCACUCACGCCAGCAAUUGUUUCUUUUAUUUCACUACGCCAGACCUCCAAUUGAACAGCCCACAUCUCGGUCAAAUUCUCCGCCGAGUGAAGCACUUGUUGACCAGUAACGCCACUUGAAGAAGCCACGUCUUCACCGGGUUCUACCGUCCACCGAAGCCACUUGGUGGUGUUUGUCCUCGGUUCGGUCAACUAGCAACAUCAACCGAAGAUGUUCCGCAAAGCCACCGAAGACUGAGGCAGCGUGCGCCAGCUCGCCAACCCACCAAGCUCCAUUGAGUGCAGCGCCUUCAGCUUCGAUCCCAAGGCCAGCGAAGCAAAUUGAAGACUCCACCGCCUUCUGCACCUCCACGCAUCCAUGGCCCGGCUCGUCUUGGUCAACAAUAGCAACCGCGAAGCCUCUGAUUGACCAAAGCCAGUGAAGCUGGAGCUCCACGCAUUUUCCUCAGCUCGUUCGUGACUCCAGCGAGCCUCCUCGAAGAAGCCCAGCCCGCGGCCUUCAUUCAGCCAUGCGAAGUUCUCUGAGGCCCAGCAUUGUGGGCCCAUCAUCGACAGCAACUCGGGCCCAAAUUUCAGUCUUCAAGCCCGCAGGAUUGAGCCCAGAAAUUUCAGCCUAGCUUGUAAUUUACUCAGCCCAUCUCUCUAGCAACUCCAUUGGGCCAAAAUCAACAAGUUCGGCCCAAGUCCGUCCCAUGAAGAGAGCCCAAUCGCAGCCAAGCCCAAGCCCAAGAGUGAGCCUAGUCCAAUGCAAGAACAAAUCUAAGUUGGGCUGAGAUUUGUUGGGCCAAGUUUAGGCCCAGUCCGAGUAUCUGCCGACGCCGCCGAAAAGUUGAAUUUCAGCCACCGUCGCGCCGUCGUCAUGGUGAUCCGGUCUCCGCUUUUAAUCAAGACCUAGAUGAGGAGCCUAAGGAGGAGGAAUUUGAUGAGGAGAACCUUGAUGAGGAACCCGAAGAGGAGUACGUGGAGGAGGACCCCGAGUACGAUCCGGAUGAGGACUGAGAUCCCGUCCUGUCUUGUCAGACCUUGUCUGCAUGUGAAUAGAUGUUAGAUUAGACUUGCGUUCAUAUAGUAUUGUAGAGUACUAUGAGAUGUGUGUAAAAAUGUGUGGUUGUGAAUUUUCAGUAUGAAAAAUACGGCCUGCUUUUCUA